rnacentral:piRNA from 1 species
UAGCCUGCAUUGGAAGAUUAGCAGUGGUC